UACGUGCCUCCGGCUCCAGAUCGUUGUCUGCCGCCUCCAUUUCUUGUGUCCCCCCCAAUUUUUGUGCUCCCCCCGACAAGUUGCACGGCCUUACGGGUGCAGCAGGCGCGAAACCUUUACACUGCACGCCAGUGCGAUAAGGGGAUCCCAAGUGCGUAGGCAUAGAGCCUACGCUUUGUCCACCCUAGGGUGGUGGACGAAUAAGGGCUGGGCAAGACCGGUGCCAGCCGCCGCGGUAAUACCGGCAGCCCAAGUGAUGGCCGAUCUUAUUGGGCCUAAAGCGUCCGUAGCUGGCCGCACAAGUCCAUCGGGAAAUCCACCUGCUCAACAGGUGGCCGUCCGGUGGAAACUGUGUGGCUUGGGACCGGAAGGCGCGACGGGUACGUCCGGGGUAGGAGUGAAAUCCUGUAAUCCUGGACGGACCGCCGAUGGCGAAAGCACGUCGCGAAAACGGAUCCGACAGUGAGGGACGAAAGCUAGGGUCUCGAACCGGAUUAGAUACCCGGGUAGUCCUAGCCGUAAACACUGCCUGCUAGGUGUGGCUCCCACUACGAGUGGGUGGUGUGCCGUAGGGAAGCCGCUAAACAGGCCGCCCGGGAUGGAACAGGGCAUAGCCCGACCUC
rnacentral:rRNA from 1 species